rnacentral:rRNA from 1 species
AACGAACGCUGGCGGCAGGCUUAACACAUGCAAGUCGAGCGCAUCCUUCGGGGUGAGCGGCGGACGGGUGAGUAACGCGUGGGAACGUGCCCUCUUCUACGGAAUAGCCCAGGGAAACUUGGAUUAAUGCCGUAUACGCCCUUUGGGGGAAAGAUUUAUCGGAGGAGGAUCGGCCCGCGUUGGAUUAGGUAGUUGGUGAGGUAACGGCUCACCAAGCCGACGAUCCAUAUCUGGUUUGAGAGGAUGAUCAGCCACACUGGGACUGAGACACGGCCCAGACUCCUACGGGAGGCAGCAGUGGGGAAUCUUGGACAAUGGGGGAAACCCUGAUCCAGCCGUGCCGCGUGAUCGAUGAAGGCCUUAGGGUUGUAAAGAUCUUUCAGUGGGGAAGAUAAUGACUGUACCCACAGAAGAAGCCCCGGCUAACUCCGUGCCAGCCGCCGCGGUAAGAC